UACGUAGGCAGCGAGCGUUGUUCGGAAUUACUGGGCGUAAAGAGUGUGUAGGCGGUGCUCUAAGUUCGGUGUGAAAUCUCCCGGCUUAACUGGGAGGGUGCGCCGGAAACUGGAGUGCUCGAGCGUGGGAGAGGAAAGCGGAAUUCCUGGUGUAGCGGUGAAAUGCGUAGAUAUCGGGAGGAACACCUGUGGCGAAAGCGGCUCACUGGACCGCAACUGACGCUGAGGCGCGAAAGCUAGGGGAGCAAACAGG
rnacentral:rRNA from 1 species